rnacentral:rRNA from 1 species
GUCCACGCCGUAAACGUUGGGCGCUAGGUGUGGGGACCAUUCCACGGUUUCCGUGCCGCAGCUAACGCAUUAAGCGCCCCGCCUGGGGAGUACGGCCGCAAGGCUAAAACUCAAAGGAAUUGACGGGGGCCCGCACAAGCGGCGGAGCAUGUGGAUUAAUUCGAUGCAACGCGAAGAACCUUACCUGGGCUUGACAUGCACUAGAAACCGGCAGAGAUGUCGGCCCCCUUGUGGUUGGUGUACAGGUGGUGCAUGGCUGUCGU